rnacentral:rRNA from 1 species
AGGAGCGCGAAGGUACUCUAAGCGCGGUCGGAAAUCGCGCGGUUAGUGCAAAGGCAUAAGAGUGCUUGACUGCGAGACUGACACGUCGAGCAGGUGGGAAACCAGGUCUUAGUGAUCCGGUGGUUCUGUAUGGAAGGGCCAUCGCUCAACGGAUAAAAGGUACGCCGGGGAUAACAGGCUGAUACCCCCCAAGAGUUCACAUCGACGGGGGUGUUUGGCACCUCGAUGUCGGCUCAUCACAUCCUGGGGCUGUAGCCGGUCCCAAGGGUAUGGCUGUUCGCCAUUUAAAGUGGUACGCGAGCUGGGUUUAGAACGUCGUGAGACAGUUUGGUCCCUAUCUGGUGUGGGCGUUAGAAACUUGAGAGGAGCUGCUCCUAGUACGAGAGGACCGGAGUGGACGUACCUCUGGUGUUCCAGUUGUCAUGCCAAUGGCAUUGCUGGGUAGCUAUGUACGGACGGGAUAACCGCUGAAAGCAUCUAAGCGGGAAGCCCCCCUCAAGAUUAGGUUUCUCUGGACCUUUAAGGUCCCUAAAGGGUCGUUGUAGACUACAACGUUGAUAGGCGAGGUGUGGAAGCGCAGCAAUGCGUUAAGCUAACUCGUACUAAUUGCCCGUGAGGCUUGAUCAUAUAACACCCAAGAAG